rnacentral:rRNA from 1 species
AAGACCUUGCGCUUUUGGAGCGGCCGAUGUCUGAUUAGCUUGUUGGUGAGGUAAAAGCUUACCAAGGCUUCGAUCAGUAGCUGGUCUGAGAGGACGGCCAGCCACACUGGGACUGAGACACGGCCCAGACUCCUACGGGAGGCAGCAGUGGGGAAUUUUGGACAAUGGGGGCAACCCUGAUCCAGCCAUGCCGCGUGAGUGAAGAAGGCCUUCGGGUUGUAAAGCYCUUUCAGCCGGAACGAAACGGUUACGGUUAAUACCCGUGACUACUGACGGUACCGGAAGAAGAAGCACCGGCUAACUACGUGCCAGCAGCCGCGGUAAUACGUAGGGUGCAAGCGUUAAUCGGAAUUACUGGGCGUAAAGCGUGCGCAGGUGGUUUUGUAAGUCAGAUGUGAAAUCCCCGGGCUUAACCUGGGAACU